AUUUAAAGCUUACAUCUUUUUAUUUUAUUCCUCCAUAACAACCAAAACAAGCUCAAACUUUUGAUGAAUGCACAUAUUUAUUAAUACAAUUAUACUAUUGUAUGGCACAAACAGCAAGAUUAUUUACAAUUAUACACAAGUAAACACACUAAAAAUUAAUUACCCUGCUGGAUUAAAUAUUGUCAAGCUCAUCAUAUUUAGAAAUUAAUAAUUAUACUGGUUGCAUCAGUGUUUCUCAUACUUGUUAUUCUUAUGAACACAUGUAGGCACCACCUACUAAUAAGCAUGAAUGAAGCUUUUUUUUUUUUUUUUUUUUUAAAAAAAUAAAAAGGUACCAUAACCUUUUGGAAACACUUUUAACUAAAACUGAAACAAAAUAUAUUGGUUGAAAAGAUUGGAGACUUGUUCUAUUACUGAAAUGACAAUGUUUAAUAUCAAUUAGUAAUUAAUUUAGUAAAAGUAGUUUGUAGUAACAGAAGAUCAAUGCCACAAUCAAUGCAAAACAAAAAAAACCCUGAUAUGUACUUUGAAGCUGACAUAUUUUCAG